UACGUAGGGGGCUAGCGUUGUCCGGAAUCAUUGGGCGUAAAGAGCGUGUAGGCGGUUCGGUAAGUCUGCUGUGAAAGUCCAGGGCUCAACCCUGGAAAGCCGGUGGAUACUGUCGGACUAGAGUGCGGAAGAGGCGAGUGGAAUUCCCGGUGGUAGCGGUGAAAUGCGCAGAUAUCGGGAGGAACACCUAUAGCGAAGGCAGCUCGCUGGGACGACACUGACGCUGAGACGCGAAAGCGUGGGGAGCAAACAGG
rnacentral:rRNA from 1 species